rnacentral:lncRNA from 1 species
AUGUUCAAACAAAAUAAUAUAUCACCAUAUAUAUAUGAGCAAUGUGAAAAAUAUAUUAAUUAUUAUUAUGGUAUUGAAAAAGAAGAAAAAUUAAAAGAAUUAAAAAAAUAUUCUGAAUUAAAUUUUUAUGACUUAAUAAAAAAUAAUGAAUUUAAUACAAAUGAUUAUAAUUUGUUAAUAAAAAGUAAAAUAAUAUUCGAAAAAGAAGAUGAGGCAUUUGAAUAUUUUAAUUUAUUAAAAAAAUAUAAUUUAAAAAUAACAACAGAAACAUAUAAUAGUUUAAUGUAUGUAUGUGUUGUUAAAAAGAAUGCAAAAUUAAGUAGAUUAAUUUAUUUACAAAUGAUUAAAAAUUGUAUUAUACCUAAUAAAAAUACUUUUUGUAUAAUGAUAAAAUCACAUGUUUUAGAUAAUGACAUAAAAAGUGCUUUCCACUUAUAUCGUAAAAUGUUAAAAGAAGGAAUACAAAUAGAUUUACCAAUAUAUAGUACAUUGUUAGAUGGACUUAUUAAACAUAAAUUGUAUGAUCGAGCAGAAAAAUUUUAUAAUUAUAUUAUUAAUUAUAAACAAGUAGUACCUGACGAAGUAAUGUAUUCUAUUAUGAUAAAAAAGUGCUCUUAUACUGGAGAAGCAGAAAAAUGUUUAAAUUUUUAUGACUCAAUUUUGUUAAAUAAUUUAAAAGUAACUGAUAUAACAUUAAUAGAAAUAAUUAAUUGUUUAUCAAAAAGAAAAGAUUAUUUUCAUCAAGUUUUUCAUUUUUAUAAUACAUAUUUAGCAAACGAAAUGAAAAUAAAUAAACGUUUAAUGUUAUAUAUGAUUAUUGCUUGUUCUAAUGUUGGAAACAUAAAAAGAUUAAAGGAAAUAUUAAAAACUAUGAACAAAUAUAAAAUAAAAAUAACAAAUGAAAUGUAUUGUUAUAUUAUAAGAGCCUUUGCAAAUGCUUGUAAAAACGAACAAAUGUCGUUAAGCGAAAAAAAUAAUAAUAUAAAAUAUGCUUGGAGGAUUAUAUAUGAUUUGUUAAAGCGGGGUGUGCAUUUUGAUAGUGGUAGUGGUAGUAGUAGUGGUAGUGGCAGUGGUAGUGGCAACAACAACAACAACAGUCUUACCGAAAUUAGUUGUAUCAGCACAAAAAUGUUAAACAGUAUAGUUCUACUAUACAUAAAUUGUUCCUAUUAUGAAUACGCAAUAGAUAUGCUAAAAUAUUAUUCAAAAUUUGGAUGUGUUCCAGAUUAUUUUACAUUUAAAAUGUUAUUUAAAUUAACAUAUUAUGAUUUAAAAGAUUAUAAUAAAAGUAUUAGUUUAUUUCAUUAUAUGAUUAACAAUACGGAUAUAAAAGGAAAUGAUUAUAUAUUCGAUAUAGUGUUAAAAUCUGCUAUAGCUACGAAAUCAUCCAAAUAUACUCUAAUUAUAUUGCGACAUAUGUUCACAGCUAAAAUAUAUCCAAGUCCUUAUAUGAUAAAAAAACUAUUUCAUGUAGCAAGACACAUAACAGAUAUACAAUUAAUUAUUAAUAGUAUGAUACAUCAACAAAAAAAAGAUAUAUAUAAUAAAAAUGUUAAUGAAAAUCAAUUAAUACAAGUAAAUAUUGAUGAAUACGAAUUGAAUUUAUUUAAAGAAGGAAAAACGUUUAAAUCAAAAAGUGAAUUAGAUAAAGUCAGAGAACAAUUUUUUAAUAAAAAACAAAGGAUAGAAAAAGAAAAAAGAAUGUCAAAAAAACAAAAAUCAUCUGAUUGGUUGCCUUAUGGGCAAUAUUUACAAUAUAAAAAAAAAGGAGGUGAAUUAUAUGCGAAAAAGGUCGAUCGUCCAAAACCUCUGUUAUUUGACUGA